GUCGUGAGAUGUUGGGUUAAGUCCCGCAACGAGCGCAACCCUUGUCCUAUGUUGCCAGCGGGUAAUGCCGGGGACUCGUAGGAGACUGCCGGGGUCAACUCGGAGGAAGGUGGGGACGACGUCAAGUCAUCAUGCCCCUUACGUCCAGGGCUGCACACAUGCUACAAUGGCCAGUACAAAGGGCUGCUAUCCCGCGAGGGUGAGCGAAUCCCAAAAAGCUGGUCUCAGUUCGGAUUGCAGUCUGCAACUCGACUGCAUGAAGUCGGAGUCGCUAGUAAUCCCGGAUCAGCAACGCCGGGGUGAAUACGUUCCCGGGCCUUGUACACACCGCCCGUCAAACCACGAAAGUCGGCAACACCCGAAGCCGGUCACCCAACCACUUUGUGGAGGGAGCCGUCGAAGGUGGGGUCGGUAAUUGGGGUUAAGUCGUAACAAGGUAGCCGUACCGGAAGGUGCGGCUGGAUCACCUCCUUUCUAAGGAGUUCCUGCAGUUCUUUCUUGAGCUUUUUGCUCUUGGGAGGCUGCGAACUUCCAGUCGAUCACUGGUUAUUCGGCGUUCUCGUCUUAUCUGGUACCUGAGGUGCUUGAGAGCUUGCUCUCUUGUCCCCGACCAGGUGAACGAGUUCGGCGGACUGUUCCUCUUCCGUUUUCAGGGAGUGGCGCGAGCGAGCGUGCCCCUUGAGAACUCCAUAGCGAGCACGAGCAUCUAAUUCUCCAAGCUACAAAGAGCCAACGGUGGAUGCCUUGGCGCCUGAAGCCGAUGAAGGGCGUGGUAAGCUGCGAUAAGCCUGGGGGAGCUGCAUACGAGCUAUGAUCUCAGGAUGC
rnacentral:sRNA from 1 species